UACGAGAGGCCCAAACGUUAUUCGGAAUUACUGGGCUUAAAGAGUUCGUAGGCGGCAUUGCAAGUAGGGUGUGAAAGCCCUCGGCUCAACCGAGGAAUUGCGCUCUAAACUGCAGUGCUUGAGGAACCUAGAGGUGAGCAGAACAGAUGGUGGAGCGGUGAAAUGCGUUGAUAUCAUCUGGAAUACCGGAGGCGAAGGCGGCUCACUGGGAGUUUUCUGACGCUCAGGUGCGAAAGCCAGGGGAGCGAACGGG
rnacentral:rRNA from 1 species